CGUGUAGGCGGUUGGGCAAGUCAGAUGUGAAAGCCUUCCGCUCAACGGAAGAAGGGCAUUUGAAACUACCCGGCUAGAGUACGGGAGAGGAGAGUGGAAUUCCCGGUGUAGAGGUGAAAUUCGUAGAUAUCGGGAGGAACACCAGUGGCGAAGGCGGCUCUCUGGUCCGAUACUGACGCUGAGACGCGAAAGCGGUGGGGAGCAAACAGGAUUAGAUACCCUGGUAGUCCACGCCGUAAACGAUGGGCACUAGGUGUAGGAGGUAUUGACCCCUUCUGUGCCGAAGCUAACGCAUUAAGUGCCCCGCCUGGGGAGUACGGCCGCAAGGCUAAA
rnacentral:rRNA from 1 species